UGCCUUUGUGUUGCCCAUUCACUUUUGGAAACUAGUGAAUGUGGUGUCAAGAAAGGCAUACACUAAACACUUUGCAGCCCUUUCUUGCCCUUGAAGAUGGUGUCUUUGGUGUAGGCGCUGCAUAAGUAACAAUG